GAAAGGAGCAGUGGCCUAGCCGAGGACAGUGGGAAGGGAGAGAAAGGAAAAUUGGAAAUGGUGAUAUGGGUUUUGUUUUUGGCGGGUUCCAUAUAAGGGGUUUGGUUUAGUUGGCUGUAUAUAUAUAUAUAUAUAUAUAUAUAUAUAUAUAUUUUGUGUUGUAGAUAUGAAUGAGAUGGGUGGUGGAAGGAAAAAGAAAAAGGUUGGCUGCCGACAGAUGGAAAGGGCAUUUGGUUUGGUUUGGUUUGGUUUGGUGAUGUCAUGAUUAACUUUGAUUUUUGCUUUUUGCUUUUUGACAAAGUAAUGUUUUGUGGCUGUUGUAGUUUUUUUUAUUCGGAAAGAAUGGCUGAUGUAGUUUGCUAAGUAAGGAAGUAAGGAAAGAAAAGAUGGUGGCGGGACUCAGUAAAUUGUUUGGUUCAGAUGAAAUGAUGUUGUCUGGCAUUUUUUCAGUGCGUGGUGAGUAGUAUUGACGUGUGUAUGGAGUCGGUGUAGAGCUGAAUUGUGUCGGUGGUUUUGCUUAUUUAUAUUGGUAUUUGUUUGGUGAGGAAGCACAUAAGAGAAUUUGAGGGAAAAUAUAGAGUUUUUGAGGACAUAGAGAGAGGGCCGAGAGUUUGAGGGAGGUACACAGAGGAGCCGAGUUGUAGAGGAGACCGGAGGUUUGAGGACAUGGUGAUCUAGCGAGGAAAUAAUUGUUUUUCAGUAAUAAUUGUUUUUCAGUGUAGGGUUCUCUAUAUCUUGAAUGGUAUCGAGGAUAAACGUGAAUUGCUAGAUUCGGGCUUAGGCUGAAGAGUUGGCAUUACAAAAUUUAAAUUUUUUAUUUGGAGAAUUUUUAUAUAUUUGAGGAAAUUGACUUUGUAUAAAAAGAUGGUAUUUUUUUUUAUGAUCCUUGUGUAUUUUGAUGUAUUUUUAAUUUAUAUAAACUAAUAAUUUUAUUAGAAUUUU